GGCAGCAGCUAAGAAUAUUCCGCAAUGGACGAAAGUCUGACGGAGCGACGCCGCGUGGAUGAUGAAGGCCGGAAGGUUGUAAAAUCCUUUUAUGACUGAGGAAUAAGCAGGGUGAGAGAAACGCCCUGUGGUGACUGUAGGUCAUGAAUAAGCAACGGCUAAUUACGUGCCAGCAGCCGCGGUAACACGUAAGUUGCGAGCGUUGUUCGGAAUUAUUGGGCGUAAAGGGUAUGUAGGCGGUUCUGCAAGUCUGGUGUGAAAUACCGGGGCUCAACCCCGGAACUGCGUUGGAAACUGCAGGACUUGAAUCGCUGAGGGGCAGCCAGAAUUCCAGGUGUAGGGGUGAAAUCUGUAGAUAUCUGGAAGAAUACCAAUGGCGAAGGCAGGCUGCCAGCAGAUGAUUGACGCUGAGGUACGAAGGUGCGGGGAGCAAACAGGAUUAGAUACCCUGGUAGUCCGCACAGUCAACUAUGUACACUGGGUGUCUGCUCAUGAGAGUGGGUGUCGAAGCAAACGCGAUAAGUGUACCGCCUGGGGAGUAUGCCCGCAAGGGUGAAACUCAAAGGAAUUGACGG
rnacentral:rRNA from 1 species